UGGGGAAUAUUGCACAAUGGGAGAAACCCUGAUGCAGCGACGCCGCGUGAACGAAGAAGGUAUUCGUAUCGUAAAGUUCUGUCCUAUGGGAAGAUAAUGACAGUACCAUAGAAGAAAGCUCCGGCUAAAUACGUGCCAGCAGCCGCGGUAAUACGUAUGGAGCGAGCGUUGUCCGGAAUUAUUGGGCGUAAAGGGUACGCAGGCGGUUUAAUAAGUCGAAUGUUAAAGAUCGGGGCUCAACCCCGCAAAGCAUUGGAAACUGAUAAACUUGAGUAGUGGAGAGGAAAGUGGAAUUCCUAGUGUAGUGGUGAAAUACGUAGAUAUUAGGAGGAAUACCAGUAGCGAAGGCGACUUUCUGGACACAAACUGACGCUGAGGUACGAAAGCGUGGGGAGCAAACAGG
rnacentral:rRNA from 1 species